AUUGAACGCUGGCGGAAUGCUUUACACAUGCAAGUCGAGCGGCAGCGCGGCCUUCGGGCUGGCGGCGAGCGGCGAACGGGUGAGUAAUGCAUCGGAACAUGCCCAGUCGUGGGGGAUAACACUUCGAAAGAAGUGCUAAUACCGCAUACGUCCUGAGGGGGAAAGCGGGGGAUCGCAAGACCUCGCGCGAUUGGAGUGGCCGAUGUCAGAUUAGCUAGUUGGUGGGGUAAAGGCCUACCAAGGCGACGAUCUGUAGCUGGUCUGAGAGGAUGAUCAGCCACACUGGGACUGAGACACGGCCCAGACUCCUACGGGAGGCAGCAGUGGGGAAUUUUGGACAAUGGGGGCAAACCUGAUCCAGCCAUUCCGCGUGAGCGAAGAAGGCCUUCGGGUUGUAAAGCUCUUUCGGCAGGAACGAAACGGUGGGCUCUAACAUAGUCCGCUAAUGACGGUACCUGAAGAAGAAGCACCGGCUAACUACGUGC
rnacentral:rRNA from 1 species